UUCACGUCUCUCUCUAUAUCCGCCUCCACUUCCAUCCUCAUCUAGAUUUGCCUCCGCUUCUAGGGAAUAUCGAAGAUGCAGAACUUUGCAAAAACCCUAACAACCAAACCCUCUAAUUUCUGUAACUUCAAAUCCAAAAACUCUCACCUUUCCAUCGCUAAAACCAAAUCCACUGAAAAUCUAACCAAAACGAAACCGGAAGAACUGAUUUACCUAAAAGUUGUUUUUCAUCUCCUGCAAAUCAAACAAACAAGCGACCUUCAGGAUUCAUAAGAAAGAAGAAGAGAAGCCCUAACUUCACCAACUAAAGAGGAAGAAUUGAUGAAACCCUAACUUCUAUAUUCAAAUUGGGUUCCUAUUCUUCCUUCACGAAGUCAAUUUUCAUUUGUUCUGUUGAUACAGAAAAAUGGAAUGAUAGUGGAGAAAAGUUUUUGAAGAAUUUUGUGAUAGUGGAAUACUCUGGUUCUCUUUAUCAUCACUUCCUAGACAAAUUCUGAGAUUUUGGUUACUUCUGGGCUGGGGUGCAAAAACAAUCCCAAGCACAAUAGAAGAUGCUUAAUUAACAGGCUGAAGCUAGAAGCUCUUCUUGCAACAAUCAUAUGAGCUAGAGAGCUGGAGCUAAUCCAAGUCUAAGGGGACUGAAUCUAUUGUAUGUCAAUGGUUGUCAGUCUAGUGCUAAAUGGACUACCACUCUUAUAAUAGUAGAUUGUAAAUUUGAUUCAAGUCUUUUCCGUUUCUAUGCUUGUAAGUUUGUUAAUAGGUCUUGUAACGUUGGUUGAUGUCCUCCUGGCAUUUUGCUCAUGUUAAAGGAGUGGUCAGUUCAUGUAACCGCCUCUUAGCUUAAUGUACUACCCUUUAUCAUUCAAAUAAUAAAUAUAAAUAAUAUGUUUCAAUGUUA